UAAUACGUAGGGGGCUAGCGUUGUCCGGAAUCAUUGGGCGUAAAGCGCGCGUAGGCGGCCCGGUAAGUCCGCUGUAAAAGUCCAGGGCUCAACCCUGGAAAGCCGGUGGAUACUGUCGGGCUCGAGUCCGGAAGAGGCGAGUGGAAUUCCUGGUGUAGCGGUGGAAUGCGCAGAUAUCAGGAGGAACACCGAUAGCGAAGGCAGCUCGCUGGGACGGUACUGACGCUGAGGCGCGAAAGCGUGGGGAGCGAACAGGAUUAGAUACCCUGGUAGUCCACGACGUAAACGGUGGAUGCUAGGUGUGGGGGGUAUCGACCCCCUCCGUGCCGGCGCGAACGCAGGAAGC
rnacentral:rRNA from 1 species